GCCUGAUGCAGCAACGCCGCGUGAGGGAUGACGGCCUUCGGGUUGUAAACCUCUUUUAGUAGGGAAGAAGGGCUUCGGCUUGACGGUACCUGCAGAAAAAGCACCGGCUAACUACGUGCCAGCAGCCGCGGUAAUACGUAGGGUGCGAGCGUUGUCCGGAAUUAUUGGGCGUAAAGAGCUCGUAGGCGGUUUGUCACGUCUGCUGUGAAAUCCCGAGGCUCAACCUCGGGCCUGCAGUGGGUACGGGCAGACUGGAGUGCGGUAGGGGAGAAUGGAAUUCCUGGUGUAGCGGUGGAAUGCGCAGAUAUCAGGAGGAACACCGAUGGCGAAGGCAGUUCUCUGGGCCGUAACUGACGCUGAGGAGCGAAAGCGUGGGGAGCGAACAGGAUUAGAUACCCUGGUAGUCCACGCCGUAAACGUUGGGCGCUAGAUGUGGGGACCUUUCCACGGUUUCCGUGUCGUAGCUAACGCAUUAAGCGCCCCGCCUGGGGAGUACGGCCGCAAGGCUAAAACUCAAAGGAAUUGACGGGGGCCCGCACAAGCGGCGGAGCAUGCGGAUUAAUUCGAUGCAACGCGAAGAACCUUACCAAGGCUUGACAUAACCGAGAACGCCGCAGAAAUGUGGAACUCUUUG
rnacentral:rRNA from 1 species